ACAGAAAGUUGAUUUACUGCAUU
rnacentral:miRNA from 1 species